GUGACAAACCGGAGGAAGGUGGGGAUGACGUCAAAUCAUCAUGCCCCUUAUGAUUUGGGCUACACACGUGCUACAAUGGACAAUACAAAGGGCAGCGAAACCGCGAGGUCAAGCAAAUCCCAUAAAGUUGUUCUCAGUUCGGAUUGUAGUCUGCAACUCGACUAUAUGAAGCUGGAAUCGCUAGUAAUCGUAGAUCAGCAUGCUACGGUGAAUACGUUCCCGGGUCUUGUACACACCGCCCGUCACACCACGAGAGUUUGUAACACCCGAAGCCGGUGGAGUAACCAUUUGGAGCUAGCCGUCGAAGGUGGGACAAAUGAUUGGGGUGAAGUCGUAACAAGGUAGCCGUAUCGGAAGGUGCGGCUGGAUCACCUCCUUUCUAAGGAUA
rnacentral:rRNA from 1 species